AGAGUUUGAUCAUGGCUCAGAUUGAACGCUGGCGGCAUGCUUUACACAUGCAAGUCGAACGGUAACAGGCCGCAAGGUGCUGACGAGUGGCGAACGGGUGAGUAAUGCAUCGGAACGUGCCCAGUCGUGGGGGAUAACGCAGCGAAAGCUGCGCUAAUACCGCAUACGAUCUAUGGAUGAAAGCGGGGGACCGUAAGGCCUCGCGCGAUUGGAGCGGCCGAUGUCAGAUUAGGUAGUUGGUGGGGUAAAGGCUCACCAAGCCAACGAUCUGUAGCUGGUCUGAGAGGACGACCAGCCACACUGGGACUGAGACACGGCCCAGACUCCUACGGGAGGCUGCAGUGGGAAAUUUUGGACAAUCUGUGCGCGCCUUAUCCCGUCGUUCC
rnacentral:rRNA from 1 species